rnacentral:rRNA from 1 species
CUUUACUGUAGCUUUGCAUUGGACUGUGACGGGGCUUGUGUAGGAUAGGUGGGAGGCAGAGAAGCCGGGACGCCAGUUCCGGUGGAGCCAACCUUGAAAUACCACCCUGGUGUCGUUGCGGUUCUAACCUGCACCCCUGAAUCGGGGUGGGGGACCGUGCAUGGUAGGCAGUUUGACUGGGGCGGUCUCCUCCUAAAGGGUAACGGAGGAGUUCGAAGGUCCGCUAGGUACGGUCGGAAAUCGUACUGAUAGUGCAAUGGCAUAAGCGGGCUUGACUGCGAGACCGACAAGUCGAGCAGGUGCGAAAGCAGGACAUAGUGAUCCGGUGGUUCUGUAUGGAAGGGCCAUCGCUCAACGGACAAAAGGUA